rnacentral:rRNA from 1 species
GAUGAACGCUGGCGGCGUGCCUAAUACAUGCAAGUCGACGAACUGAUUAGAAGCUUGCUUCUAUGACGUUAGCGGCGGACGGUGAGUAACACGUGGGCAACCUGCCUGUAAGACUGGGAUAACUUCGGGAAACCGAAGCUAAUACCGGAUAGGAUCUUCUCCUUCAUGGGAGAUGAUUGAAAGAUGGUUUCGGCUAUCACUUACAGAUGGGCCCGCGGUGCAUUAGCUAGUUGGUGAGGUAACGGCUCACAAGGCAACGAUGCAUAGCCGACCUGAGAGGGUGAUCGGCCACACUGGGACUGAGACACGGCCCAGACUCCUACGGGAGGCAGCAGUAGGGAAUCUUCCGCAAUGGACGAAAGUCUGACGGAGCAACGCCGCGUGAGUGAUGAAGGCUUUCGGGUCGUAAAACUCUGUUGUUAGGGAAGAACAGUACAAGAGUAACUGCUUGUACCUUGACGGUACCUAACCAGAAAGCCACGGCUAACUACGUCCAGCAGCCGCGGUAAUACGUAGGUGGCAAGCGUUAUCCGGAAUUAUUGGGCGUAAAGCGCGCGCAGGCGGUUUCUUAAGUCUGAUGUGAAAGCCCACGGCUCAACCGUGGAGGGUCAUUGGAAACUGGGGAACUUGAGUGCAGAAGAGAAAAGCGGAAUUCCACGUGUAGCGGUGAAAUGCGUAGAGAUGUGGAGGAACACCAGUGGCGAAGGCGGCUUUUUGGUCUGUAACUGACGCUGAGGCGCGAAAGGUGGGGAGCAAACAGGAUUAGAUACCCUGGUAGUCCACGCCGUAAACGAUGAGUGCUAAGUGUUAGAGGGUUUCCGCCCUUUAGUGCUGCAGCUAACGCAUUAGCACUCCGCCUGGGGAGUACGGUCGCAAGACUGAAACUCAAAGGAAUUGACGGGGGCCCGCACAAGCGGUGGAGCAUGUGGUUUAAUUCGAACA